AUCGUUCAUCUCUCUGUGAGAGACGGAAGUAGAGCUUCAGCUCGAAGGAACGCGCC
rnacentral:ncRNA from 2 species